GACGAACGCUGGCGGCGUGCUUAACACAUGCAAGUCGAACGGAAAGGCCCUGCUUUUGUGGGGUGCUCGAGUGGCGAACGGGUGAGUAACACGUGAGUAACCUGCCCUUGACUUUGGGAUAACUUCAGGAAACUGGGGCUAAUACCGGAUAGGAGCUCCUGCUGCAUGGUGGGGGUUGGAAAGUUUCGGCGGUUGGGGAUGGACUCGCGGCUUAUCAACUUGUUGGUGGGGUAGUGGCUUACCAAGGCUUUGACGGGUAGCCGGCCUGAGAGGGUGACCGGCCACAUUGGGACUGAGAUACGGCCCAGACUCCUACGGGAGGCAGCAGUGGGGAAUAUUGCACAAUGGGCGGAAGCCUGAUGCAGCAACGCCGCGUGCGGGAUGACGGCCUUCGGGUUGUAAACCGCUUUCGCCUGUGACGAAGCGUGAGUGACGGUAAUGGGUAAAGAAGCACCGGCUAACUACGUGCCAGCAGCCGCGGUGAUACGUAGGGUGCGAGCGUUGUCCGGAUUUAUUGGGCGUAAAGGGCUCGUAGGUGGUUGAUCGCGUCGGAAGUGUAAUCUUGGGGCUUAACCCUGAGCGUGCUUUCGAUACGGGUUGACUUGAGGAAGGUAGGGGAGAAUGGGAUUCCUGGUGGAGCGGUGGAAUGCGCAGAUAUCAGGAGGAACACCAGUGGCGAAGGCGGUUCUCUGGGCCUUUCCUGACGCUGAGGAGCGAAAGCGUGGGGAGCGAACAGGCUUAGAUACCCUGGUAGUCCACGCUGUAAACGGUGGGUACUAGGUGUGGGGUCCAUUCCACGGGUUCCGUGCCGUAGCUAACGCUUUAAGUACCCCGCCUGGGGAGUACGGCCGCAAGGCUAAAACUCAAAGGAAUUGACGGGGCCCCGCACAAGCGGCGGAGCAUGCGGAUUAAUUCGAUGCAACGCGUAGAACCUUACCUGGGUUUGACAUGGAUCGGGAGUGCUCAGAGAUGGGUGUGCCUCUUUUGGGGUCGGUUCACAGGUGGUGCAUGGCUGUCGUCAGCUCGUGUCGUGAGAUGUUGGGUUAAGUCCCGCAACGAGCGCAACCCUUGUUCACUGUUGCCAGCACGUUAUGGUGGGGACUCAGUGGAGACCGCCGGGGUCAACUCGGAGGAAGGUGGGGAUGACGUCAAGUCAUCAUGCCCCUUAUGUCCAGGGCUUCACGCAUGCUACAAUGGCUGGUACAGAGAGUGGCGAGCCUGUGAGGGUGAGCGAAUCUCGGAAAGCCGGUCUCAGUUCGGAUUGGGGUCUGCAACUCGACCUCAUGAAGUCGGAGUCGCUAGUAAUCGCAGAUCAGCAACGCUGCGGUGAAUACGUUCCCGGG
rnacentral:rRNA from 1 species